rnacentral:lncRNA from 1 species
UCCUUGAGCUAACUUCACUUACUACAACAAUUACUCUUUAGUAUCUGCAAGAUGUCCAUGAUGGACAACAUUCAAGCAAAGGGGGUGAGAAAUACAUUAAAAUAAAAAAUGGCGCAUAAACAAUCAGAGUAGAUUAAAUACAAUAUAAUUCAAACAUAAUCCAUUAUACAAUGGUUCCAAUUAUGAACCGGGUUCCAUCAG